UUUCAGUCUACAUUUUUGUUCUUAACAGAAAAGGAUAUUGUCUAGGGAGAAUAGCUUGUGUUAAUUGAUUGUUUACUAUGACCUGGGCACUCUACACACAUUAUCAGAGUCUCAUAACAUUUCCUUAUUGGUUUUCAUUUUCAAGAUGAGGAAACCUAAGCUCAAAGGGGGAUUUGACUUGUCUAAGAUCUAAAAUCACACAGCAAGGAAUUGGUGGAGCUGGGAUUGGAACCCAGGCCUACUUGACUCCAGAGUUGUUUAACCAGAAUCACACACCUGACCCCACCAGCUGCCCACAGACUUGGACUCACCCCAGAAAGCAGUCAAGCAUUUGCCCAGUGACCUGCAAGGCAGCUCUGUUCUUCCUCCUCCACCCCCAUCCCAGGCUGGAACCCAGGGAGCAGUGAUGAGGGGGCGGGGCUGGGGAAAAGCCAUAGAGGCAGCAGAUGACUGCUCUGCUCUACUCUCCUGAUGUCUUUAGUCCCACCCCUUCAGUCUAAAGAUGAAGAAACACGGGUCAGUGGCAAAAUCAUUCUAGACUGAAGGUCUUUCCACUCCCACUCCAACCUCCUUACAUUGCUCCAUGUACCUGUUUCCUCAUUGUAAAAUGGGAAUAAUAAACAUAGUGGUACCUACUUCAUUGAAUUGGUGGUAUGUUAAAUGAGUUAAUGAUGUAUUUAUAGAUAUCAGCUCUAUAUCCUCUCAGUCCUGAGCUUGCCCUUCCUUGUAGCCCCAUGGCAGAGUGUACUGUUGGCAUUCUGCUGAUCUCUUUGAGGGGGCGGGGAGGGGCUUGAGUCAUCACCAGAGGCAGGCAGGUUCCAAUGAGGCCUGUCUUGUCUAGUGAUUGUACCCACAGCAUGUCUGGCCCAUAUUAGUCCUGCUGCUUUUUUAAAUGUGUGCACAUACAAUUACAGUGAAUAAAAUACAAAUUCACUUAAUGCUGUUACUUAGUCAUAGGUUUGUCAUAUAUCAAGUCAAUCAAUGAUUGCUAAUGGAGGUUCAGAAUGGGUUGGGGGCCACUGGGACAGGCGCCUCAAUCCUGAGCCCUUCUGCCCUGGGAGGCCGGGCUCCUCUCCUGUCCUCCAAGAUGUGCUGGCUCAGAUCAGCUCUGCUGCUCUCCCCAGCCUCGGCCUUCCCCCAGAGGGUUCCUGACAGGGAAUCGGAAUGCCCUGGAGGAGGUCAGUUCCACGUGAGAGAAUGAGGAGAGCUGCCCUCACGUCUCUGGGGCUGAAAUUUCAUCCUUCCUCCACUUGGAACCUGUCCUCACUCUGUCACCCUCUCUCCUCCAACUUCCUAGACCCAGAGCAUGUAGAGUACCACAGAUCCAUAGCCCUCAUCCAGCCCUUCACCACCCCACCCCGUAGGGAUGGGUGCAGAGGGACUUGAUUGCUUGGCUAAUUUGAACAUGGAUGGGAUGUGGAGUGGCAUAAAAGUGCUUGGAAUUUGUGCAUUAUUGGUGGGAACGUAAAAUGGUGCAGCUGCUGUGGAAAACAGUUUGGUAGUUCCCCAAAAAAUUAAAAGUAGGAUUAUUAUAUGUUCCAGCAAUUUAACUUCUGGGCAUAUACCCAAAAGAAGUAAAAGCAAGUCUUGAAGAGGUAUCUGUACACCCAUAUUUAUAACAGAAUUGUUCACAAUAACCCAAAGAAGGAAGCAACUCACGUUUUCUAUUGAUGGAUGGAUGGAUAGGCUAAAUGUGGUGUAUACAUGCAAUGGACUAUUAUUCGGCCUUAAAAAGAAAGGAAAUUCUGAGAGUUGCUACAACAUGGAUGAACCUUGAACACACUGUGCUAAGUCAAGUAAGCCAGGCACA